AUGGCUUCUUCGAAGAUCCUUAUACCGUUUUAUAGAUGGUAUAAUGAUUCAAAGCGAAGCCUAAAUCAAAUCAUCUCACAACUAAUUUGGCUACUUUUCUUACAGUAUUAGCAAAAUACAGAAUAAUACGCUAUGGGAAUCGAAACUGGUAAUUGAAAUCAUUAUUGGUCGAUAAUUAGUUUGAGACAUUG
rnacentral:snoRNA from 1 species